CAGCCGCCACGGUAAUACGGAGGGGGCUAGCGUUGUUCGGAAUUACUGGGCGUAAAGCGCACGUAGGCGGCUUGGUAAGUUAGAGGUGAAAGCCCGGAGCUCAACUCCGGAAUUGCCUUUAAGACUGCCGAGCUAGUAGGUGAGAGAGGUAGGUGGAAUUCCGAGUGUAGAGGUGAAAUUCGUAGAUAUUCGGAAGAACACUAGUGGCGAAGGCGGCUUACUGGCUCAUUCUAGACGCUGAGGUGCGAAAGCGUGGGGAGCAAACAGGAUUAGAGACCCGCGUAGUCCCUGUCUCUUAUAC
rnacentral:rRNA from 1 species